UACGUAGGUGGCAAGCGUUGUCCGGAAUUAUUGGGCGUAAAGCGCGCGCAGGUGGUUCCUUAAGUCUGAUGUGAAAGCCCACGGCUCAACCGUGGAAGGUCAUUGGAAACUGGCUUACUAGAGUGCGGUAGAGGGGUGUGGAAUUCCCGGUGUAGCAGUGAAAUGCGUAGAUAUCGGGAGGAACAUCUGUGGCGAAGGCGACACCCUGGACCAGCACUGACACUGAGGCACGAAAGCGUGGGGAGCAAACAGG
rnacentral:rRNA from 1 species